ACGGGAGGCAGCAGUGGGGAAUAUUGCACAAUGGGGGGAACCCUGAUGCAGCAACGCCGUGUGAGCGAAGAAGGCCUUUGGGUCGUAAAGCUCUGUCCUAAGGGAAGAAGGAAGUGACGGUACCUUAGGAGGAAGCCCCGGCUAACUACGUGCCAGCAGCCGCGGUAAUACGUAGGGGGCGAGCGUUAUCCGGAAUAAUUGGGCGUAAAGGGUACGUAGGCGGAAUAAUAAGCGUAGGGUGAAAGGCAUUGGCUAAACCAAUGUAAGCCUUGCGAACUGUAAUACUUGAGUGCAGGAGAGGGAAGCGGAAUUCCUAGUGUAGCGGUGAAAUGCGUAGAUAUUAGGAGGAACACCAGUGGCGAAGGCGGCUUUCUGGCCUGUAACUGACGCUGAGGUACGAAAGUGUGGGGAGCGAACAGGAUUAGAUACCCUGGUA
rnacentral:rRNA from 1 species